GUUUUGAAGAAAACAGAUGUACAAUCAACCGAUUGUAAUGAAGGAGCACCCUAACACCUUCUCUGCUUUUCAACUUUCUUGGUACUGCAAAAAGAAAGUGGAGAAAGGUAAAACAUUCCAAAU